CGUAGGUGAGGAUACGUACGUUUCGCCUACCUAACCCCGCGGUAACGGCCCCCAAUACCGCCCCAGUCGACCCACUCCGUGGGCGGCGACGCUGUCAAUCUGUGCUGGAAGCGCCCUAGGGCGUGACCAGCAGCUCGUUACAUCGAGUCCACAGAUCAAACGACGGUGGCCACCUCGGGUGGUUUUGAUAUGAUCGGCCCCAGUCGACACCGGCUGGCGAGAGCGGAACCUGCGGAAGGAUCAUUAAC
rnacentral:rRNA from 1 species